rnacentral:rRNA from 1 species
UACGGGAGGAGCGAGCAUUAUUCAGAAUAAUUAGGUGUAAAGGGUUUGUAGGUUGUUUUUUAAGUUGAAAAAAAAAUCUUAAAGCUUAACUUUAUUAACUUUUUCAAAACUAAAAAACUAGAGUAUAAAUUGAGAAUAAUAGAAUUUUUAUUGUAGGGAUAAAAUCUGUUGAUAAUAAAAGGAAUUUCUAAAGCGAAAGCAAUUAUUUGAGUAUAUACUGACAUUGAGAAACGAAAGCUUGGGUAGCAAACGGG